GCUUGUCUCAAAGAUUAAGCCAUGCAUGUCUAAGUAUAAGCUAUUUAUACGAGUGAAACUGCGAAUGGCUCAUUAUAUCAGUUAUAGUUUAUUUGAUGGUACUUACUACAUGGAUAACCGUAGUAAUUCUAGAGCUAAUACAUGCAUCAAACCCCGACUUCUGGAAGGGGUGUAUUUAUUAGAUACAAACCAACAUCGUGGUGAUUCAUAAUAACUUUGCGAAUCGUAUGCCUCACGGCGACGAUGAAUCAUUCAAAUUUCUGCCCUAUCAACUUUCGAUGGUAGGAUAGAGGCCUACCA
rnacentral:rRNA from 1 species